rnacentral:lncRNA from 1 species
GCAGCUAAAACCAUUCAAGUCAAAUUGAUUGCGUCUUAAUGGAGGAUCAUUAUUUUCAUGGAUAUUAUUCAGCUGAAAUCCUUGUGGUAUUUCCUCAUUCUGGGGUUUUACUGAGUCUCUUCUUUUGGUGUUUCUAAAUUCUUCUCCCGUGUAGAUUCUGUUGCCAUUCAAUUUUUCUCCCUGAACUCCAACACUCAUUGACAAAUCACAGGCAUCAACUUCUUUCUCUCGAAUCUCUUUCAGGUCUUUGCACCAUCUGAGAUCAAAGGUAUCGUUGUCGAUCUUACUAGCUAAAGGUAUCAAACCUCCACAUGAGGUCAAGCACCUGUCUAAUGAAAAAUCCAUGGACUGCAGGUUUGUUUGUUUUUGCUGUGGAUAGAAGCCCCCUGAAACAUCUUUCAUCCCUGGGAAUGCAGAAUCUAGGCAAUUGGUGGAUACCGGUUCAGAUAGCUGGACCUUCGCAGCAGCCUCUAAUCCUAUUGUUCCCAAAUUCUGUCUUCCUAGGGUAUCUUGUGCUUUCUCUAGCACUGCUUGUAG